rnacentral:rRNA from 1 species
UACGGAGGGAGCUAGCGUUGUUCGGAAUUACUGGGCGUAAAGCGCACGUAGGCGGCUUUUUAAGUCAGGGGUGAAAUCCCGGGGCUCAACCCCGGAACUGCCUUUGAAACUGGAGAGCUAGAAUCCUGGAGAGGAGAGUGGAAUUCCGAGUGUAGAGGUGAAAUUCGUAGAUAUUCGGAAGAACACCAGUGGCGAAGGCGACUCGCUGGACAGGUAUUGACGCUGAGGUGCGAAAGCGUGGGGAGCAAACAGG